AGAAGGCUGCAAACGGUUCCAGAGUAUCGACGGCGAACAAUACGGGAGACGGCGGCGUGGUUCUCAGAGAUUUGGGGCGGCCUGGCCGGCGAGGCGCUGUGCUGCUCGGUGACGUGGUCUCGACGCUGGUGCGGCCUGCUGUGCGCCGUCUGCCUAGGUCUUGGGCGGCGCUGUGCGCGGAGCUGUGGCUGGCGUUCGCAGCGGCGCUGUAGUGAGUGGCCGUGCAUGGGCUACUAUGUGACGGCAUUCCUACUGAUUGGAAUGUAGUUUGGUUGGUUGUGAGUGCACAUGAGGAGAAUAGCCAAGGUCAUCUGGUGCCAAUACACUCAUUCCUUCUACCUCAGAGCCACAACGGAGAUCAGUGCAAUCGCUCGGAGUCAUGAUGCUAUGUUUCCUUUUGUUUCUUAGGCUCCCGUCCUUCUGUAACUAAUUUUCUAUUGGAUGGCUAUUACUUGCUUCGUGUGCUGGGUGUCAUUCCUAGGUUAUUAUACGUGUUUUGCUACGUUAGGAGUUUUACAACCAUGGUUGGACUUGGUAGGUCAUGUUCCGGAGUUCCUGUAAAAGCCGGUACGCGACGAACUGUUGCUUUUGUUAAAGCAGCAUCCGAAUAAAUAUAAUCAUUGCCGUCGAGGAAGAAAGGAAUGUAGAUUUGAACUUAAUUUGACAGGACUAAACACUAUCACAAUUCCAGAUUGCCAUGAGGACAGCCUUGUAUGUCAUGUACUCAUGUUACUUUCGAUAAUACAUAUGAGAUUUCCGUUUUUAUUUUCUGUAAUAUUCAUUGUAUUUUUACGCAACUUCUGCCUUGCCGCAUUGGAAAGAUGAUGAAUGAUUAUUACCAUGGAGUAAUAAAGCUUUUCCGGCCAACCGGAGAAGAACAAACCUGCAUGCUUCAUGUAAUUACACAUGACGCAAAGGCGUACAUCUCCAAAGAUCCAAAGGUGUUAGCCAACAUUUAUAGAUUGACCCCGGGAGAAAUAUUUGCAUGGAAUGGCUAUUAUGUUGAUGAGAUCCAUGGCCAUGCUUUCAGGACAUAUGGAGACAUGGCGAUGCCAAGAUGCUGCGGUGAUGAGUAUUACAAAGAAGAAACAACUUAAGAAAUAGGGCGAUUGUAUUUUAAUUUCAGUAUCAACCAUUUCUGUUUCAGUUUUUAUUCAAAUGUGUUGGGUUGUUAUUAAACAAGUGGAAUAAAAUCAAUGAC